AUGGCGGCGACGACAGCGCAGCCGCCCUCGCCGCUUCCGCCGGCCGGCGAGGUGAUCGAGGUGGAGAACUCGGAGCCGGGCUCGCCGGACGCCGGCAGCCGGAGCAGCGGCAGCGGCCGGAGCUCGUCGGAGUACUCCGGGUGGGUCUACCACCUCGGCGUCAACUCCAUCGGCCACGAGUACUGCCACCUCCGCUUCCUCGUCAUCCGCGGCAAGUGCGUCGCCAUGUACAAGCGCGACCCGCACGACAACCCGGGACUCGAACCUAUCCGAAAGGGUUUUGUCAGUCACACUCUUGUGGUGGAGGAGGUUGGUCGCAAAAAGGUCAACCACGGGGAUGUUUAUGUCUUGAGGUUGUACAGUAGAUUGGAUCAAACGAAGAAAGGAGAGAUUGCGUGUGCAACUCCUGGUGAAGCUCAGAAAUGGACUGAAGCAUUUGAGCAGGCUAAACAACAGGCUGAGUAUGACCUGACAAGAGGGGCCAACUGGAACAGAUUGCAGAGUGAAAACGAGUUUAAUCUCGAUGGGCAUCGACCUCGGGUAAGAAGAGGCUUGGGGAAACUUGUACGCAUUGGCAAAGGACCAGAAAUGCUCCUUCGGCAGUCCUCCGAUCUUCAAAGCCAUGAAAGGGUUAACACAAACUUUGGAGGUGAUACUGGAGAUGCACUUGAAGCACAUGAAUGGAGAUUUGUUCGAACAUUAAAUGGAAUUAGAAUUUUUGAAGAUAUUGCAAACUCAAAGGGUGGAAAGGGGAUACUUCUCAAGUCUAUUGGCGUGGUUGGUGCAAAUCCCGACACAGUGUUCGAAAUGGUUCUCAGUCGGGAUAAGCAUAAGCGACACGAGUGGGAUAUGUUGAUUUCUGAUUUGGAGUUGGUAGAAACAAUUGAUGGGUACUGUGAUGUGGUUUACGGGACCUAUGAGCCAAAAUAUUUAAACUGGUGGAAAUCAAAGAAGGACUUUGUCUUUUCCAGACAAUGGUUUCGUGGACAAGAUGGGGCAUAUAACAUUUUGCAAAGUCCUGCUAGUCACAAGCAAAAACCUCCAAGACAUGGAUAUGAGCGUACACAUAUCAACCCCACAACAUGGGAAAUAAAGAGGUUAAACACAUCAGAAUCUACUCCGAAGUGCAUUGUUACUCGCAUGGUGGAGAUCUCCCCAUGUUUCUGGGACAGAUGGAGGAGAAGGACCUCCUCAAAUUUUGAGAGAAGUAUCCCUUUUGCUCUGCUCAGCCAAGUAGCAGGUCUAAGAGAAUACUUUGCAGCAAAUCCAGCCAUCACACCGGAUUUGCCUUCAACAGUAGUGAAGUCAAAAGUAUCUGAAUCCUUGAUCAUCCAGAGUGAACUUGAAUAUUCAGAACCUAAUGAUGAGUUCUAUGAUGCACUUGUUAGAGGAGAAUCCUUUGAAGGUGAUAGUGAUGAUGAUGAUGAUGAUGAUGAUGUUACAACCCCGAAGGCUGGAAAGGUGAAGUUGAAGAACGUAUCAUGGGCCAUUGCAGGUUUAGCUAUGAAGCGAACUAAAGCUUCGCUUGAGAGGAGCGAAUUGGUUACAAAUUCUAUUCCCAUAGCUAUUGACUCGAGCCAUUUCCAUGGCACCGUUCGACAAGCGAAAAGUGAAGAUGACCCAAAUUCUUGGAGUUCACCUGGUGGAGAGAAGUUUAUGAUAAGAGGGAAGACUUACUUGACAGAUUACGCCAAGAUUGCUGGAGGUGAUCCUCUUCUAAAGCUUAUUGCAGUUGAUUGGUUCAAGGUUAACGAGCGCUUUGACUCGGUUGCCUUGCACCCAAAAAGCCUUGUUCAGUCUGAAGCUGCAAAGAAGAUUCCCUUCAUACUGGUUGUAAAUUUACAGGUUCCAGCAAAACCAAACUAUAACUUGGUUAUGUACUACGCAGCAGAGAAGCCAGUGAACAAAGAUUCUCUCUUGGGUAGAUUCAUUGAUGGAACUGAUGCAUUUCGAGAUGCCAGAUUUAAGCUUAUACCAAGUAUUGUUGAGGGUUAUUGGAUGGUAAAGCGUGCAGUUGGGACGAGAGCUUGCCUCCUGGGGAAAGCAGUGACAUGCAAUUAUCUUCGGCAGGAUAACUUUCUCGAGAUAGAUGUUGACAUUGGUUCCUCUUCUGUUGCACGGAGCAUUAUUGGCCUAGUCCUGGGAUAUGUGACAAGCAUCGUCGUGGAUCUUGCUAUUCUAGUUGAGGCAAAGGAAGAGAAAGAGCUGCCUGAGUACAUUCUUGGCACUGUUCGUCUAAACCGUGUAAAUCCUGAGGGUGCUGUAGCGAUCUAA
rnacentral:rRNA from 1 species